rnacentral:tRNA from 1 species
GUCUGGAUGGCUUAGUUGGUUAAAGCGUCGGUCUCAUAUUAAUUCAAUGACUGCUCGAAAAGAGUAGAUAUCCGAAGGUCGUGAGUUCGACCCUCACUCCGGACA